rnacentral:rRNA from 1 species
AACCAGCACCUCAAGUGGUCAGGAGGAUUAUUGGGCCUAAAGCAUCCGUAGCCGGCUCUGUAAGUUUUCGGUUAAAUCCAUGUGCUCAACGCAUGGGCUGCCGAAAAUACUGCAUAGCUAGGGAGUGGGAGAGGUAGACGGUACUCGGUAGGAAGGGGUAAAAUCCUUUGAUCUAUCGAUGACCACCUGUGGCGAAGGCGGUCUACCAGAACACGUUCGACGGUGAGGGAUGAAAGCUGGGGGAGCAAACAGG